UGCAGUCGAGCGGAAUUUUAUUGGUGCUUGCACCUUUAAAAUUUUAGCGGCGGACGGGUGAGUAACACGUGGGUAACCUACCUUAUAGAUUGGGAUAACUCCGGGAAACCGGGGCUAAUACCGAAUAAUACUUUUUAACACAUGUUUUAAAGUUGAAAGACGGUUUCGCCUGCCCUUAUAAAAUGGACCCGCGGCGCAUUACCUAGUUGGUGAGGUAACGGCUCACCAAGGCACAGAUGCUUACCCAACCUGAGAGGGUGAUCGCCACACUUGGAACUGAAACACGGCCCAAACUCCAACGGGAGGCAGCAGUAGGGAU
rnacentral:rRNA from 1 species